GUUAUUUCCAGUAUAGAUUAUAUCCAGUCAUUUCUCAAGUCUGAAUCUGUUUAUUAAUACUCAUAGGCAGCUUCAAACCCCCCGAAGGCAUUCCAUAACGUGGA